CGCCACCUCGUGGCUGGGGUGCCUGCGCAAACCAGCUGCCUCACCAGCCCUGGAGCUCGCACCACGUGGCCUCACCUCACGUGUGCUGUCCCCCUGGCCACGUCUGUCUUUGUCUCACCUGACGUGCUGUGCCUCUCCUGCCAGGGCUCUGUCCUGUCUGCCGCCACUACCGCCGCAUGGCCCUGCUCGGCCUGCAGCCCGCUCGCCGCUUCGCUCCCUCAGAGACCCCGCGCCAGCGGUCCGUAUUGGCCACGACUAUGCAAAUGACGUUAGACAAAAAGCAAAUUCGAGCGAUUUUCUUAUUUGCGUUCAAAACGGGCAGUAAAGCAGCUUGGACAACUCACGACAUUAACAAUGCCCUUGGCCCAGAAACUGCUAACGAAUGUGCAGUGCAGUGGUGGUUCAAAAAGUUUUGCAAAGGUGACAAGAGCCUUGAAGAUAAGGAGCACAGUGGCUGGCCAUUAACAAUGACCAACUGAGAGCAAUUAUCAAAGCUGAUUCUCUUACAACUACAUGAGAAGGGGCUGAAGAACUCAACGUCGAACAUUCUGUGGUCAUUUGGCAUUUGAAGCAAAUUGGAAAGGUGAAGAAGCUUGAUAAGUGAGUGCCUCAUGAGCUGAGCGAAAAUGAAAAAAAAAUAGGUGUUUUGAAGUGUCAUCUUAUUCUAUGCAACAAUGAACCAUUUCUUGAUCGGAUUGUGACAUGUGACAAAAAGUGAACUUUAUACAACAGUCAGCGAUGACUAGCUCAGUCGGUGGACUGAGAAGAAGCUCCAAAGCACUUUCCAAAGCUAAACUUGCACCAAAAAAAGUCAUGGUCACUGUUUGGUGGUCUGCUGCCAGUCUGAUCCACUACAGCUUUCCGAAUCCCGGCUAAACCAUUACAUUUGAGAAGCACAGUCAGCAAAUUGAUGAGAUGCACCAAAAACUGCAAUGCCUGCAGCUGGCAUUGGUCAACAGAAAGGGCCUAAUUCUUCUCCAUACCAGUGCUCAACCACACCUUGCACAACCAACACUUCAAAAGGUGAAUGAAUUGGGCUACAAAGUUUUGCUUCAUUCGACAUAUUCACCUGACCUCUCUCCAACUGACUACCACUUUUUUAAGCAUCUCGACAACUUUUUGCAGGGAAAAUGCUUCCACAACGAGCAGAAUGCAGAAAAUGCU